CUUCGCUGUAAGCAAAGAAAUUUACAUUCUUUCCUGUGAUGUUUGCUGUUGUCACUGUUUUGUGAGACCCAGCUCCUGGGAGCCCUGUUACAUGGACUGGACUGGGAUUUGUCAUUGUUCUUCCUGGCGCUGGCCUGAGAUUUGUUGUCAACAAUUUUCCUUUUCCCAUGGACUUCACCAUAGCUGUUCGUUAUGAAACCCAGUCCACAGCUGACUGGGCUAUUUGGGUCAUAGUCAACAACUUUGGAGGAAACAGGCACUGUGUGCAUUAAGAAUUCACAAGGAUCAUCUCUGGCUUUUGCCUUACCAACUACUGCCAGGCUGGGACAUAGAGUCAAGUGAAUGUGAUUUAUUCAGAGCACAAAUCUGGAAGACUGAGGAGUGAAGCAGACGAAAGGACUGAGCAAGGAGCAGCUGGUGGAAGUAGAAGCAGACACCCACAGCUAAACACGGAACUGAACUGGAA